rnacentral:lncRNA from 1 species
GUCCUUCCUCCUAGGGAACUAGUCUUUUUCAUCCAUGGGUUCUGGAAGUGAAACCUGCCUUAGAUCAUGAAACUGGUGGGGGUUGGGGAGGUGGGAGCUAAACACUGGAACACAUGGACACAAAGAUGGCAGCAAGAGACACUGGAAACUACUAGAGAGAGAAGGAAAGGAGCAGGGCAAACAUACUACGCCCAGGACCCGGAAGACGGGAUUAAUGAAACCCCAAACCUCAGCGUCCCAGGUAACCCAGCCUUCCUUUUGCCUUCUUCAUGGGACUGUAAAAAGUUGUUGAUACAAUGGUCCAAAAUGGACGGCCAGAGAUCUAUUACAGCAAAGAGAGUGUUUGGCUGGGAAAGCCUGAAUUUGAGCUUCACAGCUCAUAAAGCUUGA